rnacentral:rRNA from 1 species
CCCAAUAAUAGUUAAAUUUAUUAAUAAAUGUUAUACAAUCAUUAUAUACUAUAGACUCACUAUUAAUUAAUUGUAAGUUUUAUUCUUGCUUAUUAUAUUAAUUUUUUAAUAAUAUUAUAUGUAAUUUUUUUAAUUUUUGUUAUUUCAGUAAUAAAUUUUAUUAAUUAUUUUCUUUUUUAUUAAGUUAUUUAAUUGUAUUGGAUUAAAAUUGUGCCAGCAGUCGCGGUUAUACAAUUCAUUAAAAUUAAUAUUUUAGGUUUCAAUUAUUUAAUUUUUGGAAAUAAACUAUUUAAAUUUAGGUGGAAUUUAUUUAAYUUAUUAUUUUCUUUCUGAUUUUUAUUAAAUUUAAUUCUUAAACUAGGAUUAGAUACCCUAUUAUUUUAUGUUUAAUUUUUUGCUUGAAUAUUAUCAGCUAUUUUCUGUUAAACUCAAAGAAUUUGGCGGUAAUUAAUUUUUUUAGAGGAAUUUGGUUKUUAAUUGAUAAACCACGAUAGACUUAACUUUUUUUGUAUUUGUAUAUCUCUAUAAUUCGGAAUGUUAUUAUAAUAUAUUUUCUUUUUUUUUAUUAAAUUUUAUGUUAGGUCAAGGUGCAGUUUUAAUAAAGUGAAUUUGAAUUACUUUAAUUUUAUAUAUUUAUUGCUAAAUUAAUAAUUUUUUUUUAAAAUAGAAUUUAAUAGUAAUUUUAAGUAAUUAUUUAAUUUGAAUUUAAUACUAAAUUAUGUACAUAUUGCCCGUCACUCUCAUUUAAGUUGAGAUAAGUCGUAACAAAGUAAUUUUACUGGAAAGUGAGGUUAGAAUGU